rnacentral:lncRNA from 1 species
AUUUCAAAAAGUGAUUGCAAGCUGAAAUGGAGAAGAAAUGCUUGUAAUCAAACCAGUAAUCCAUGUAUUUGUGCAGCAAGAAGCAAACUGAUAAAAUAAGGAACACAUUUCUCAUUUAAGAGUGAAUCCUUAAGAGUCAGACUAAUUGAGUCUACGAUAACUAUCUUGAAUGACUCCAGUACUUCAAGUCUGGGAGCAUCAGAGAUGUUGGAAGUAGCAUUUCCCUUUCAGACAAGAAAGAAGACCGGAAUGAUUGCGACAGCAACAGAGAUGUAUGUAAAUAUUUAUGAAUACUAGAUGUAAUGCUAAUCUCAUUAUUAGUAAGAAGGAGUUAGUGAGUGAUUGCUCAAAGGAAAGGUAGUUGAGACUUGUAAUGUGGGAGAUAAGGCGGGGAACAAUUCCAUGUUCAGAAAUGGCAUUUUAACCAUGACCAGGGGCUGUCACUGUGGCAUAGUGGGUUAAAGCCCUGGC